AAGCAGUACAAACAUGCAUCUCUGGAAGUCCAGCAUCAGAUAGCAUACUGACAGAGUUCUAGCUCAGGCUUUGGCACUUACUGUUUCCUUUGUCUGAAAGCUCUUCCUCGUGUAAUUUCAAGGCUCGUUUCCUCACAAUAUUGUCUCUCCUUAAAUGUUAUGCCUCUAGAGAAAUCUUCACUAAAUGCCUUAUAUAA